rnacentral:tRNA from 1 species
GCCGAUGUGGUGGAGUGGCAUACACACCAUUCUCAAAAAGUGGCGCCCGGAAGGGAUCGUGGGUUCGAAUCCCACCAUCGGCACCA